CUUCCUUCAAAUAUCUGAUAAACAAUGACAAUGCUGCAUCAAUGCCUCUGUAGUGGAAUUCCAGAUCCAGGAGUGCUCUGCUAGCUUCAAUUCGAAUUUGCCAUAAUGUCUUAAAAUCUUGAAAAGGUUUAAUGAGUUCAAAAACAUGAUCAAGAUGAACAGAUCCAGACAGCUUUAAGGCAAUUUGUACCAAUGUACGGAUGCAGCUGAUUGUCAAUAUACCAUUGUAGCUGGGCAUCAGCCUGUCAAAUUGCAGAAGCCGAUCAAUGCGCUUGAGAAGAGAUGAUAAAAAGACAACACUCUGUUGCCCAAAUUCAAGUUGACCCACUGACUGGACUAAUGCAGCAAGCCAGAACACAUCAGAAUAAGGAUUUCCAGUGUUAUCAUUAUACUUGAGAAGUUGCAAAACAAAUUCAAUAGCUUCCCUCGGGCUUUUCUUGUCUGCAGCUCUAACUGUUGCUACAGCUUGAGGAAUUGCCUCAAGAACAAAGUAUUCAGGAAAAUCAUGAAAGUCAUUUGGCUUGGGUAG
rnacentral:misc_RNA from 1 species